GAUGAACGCUGGCGGCGUGCCUAAUACAUGCAAGUCGAGCGAACGGACGAGGAGCUUGCUUCUCUGAUGUUAGCGGCGGACGGGUGAGUAACACGUGGAUAACCUACCUAUAAGACUGGGAUAACUUCGGGAAACCGGCGCUAAUACCGGAUGAUAUUUUGAACCGCAUGGUUCAAAAGUGAAAGACGGUCUUGCUGUCACUUAUAGAUGGAUCCGCGCUGCAUUAGCUAGUUGGUAAGGUAACGGCUUACCAAGGCAACGAUGCAUAGCCGACCUGAGAGGGUGAUCGGCCACACUGGAACUGAGAAACGGUACAGACUCCUACGGGAGGCAGCAGUAGGGAAUCUUACGCAAUGGGCGAAAGCCGGACGGAGCAAAGCCGCGGGAGUGAUGAAGGUCUUCGGAUCGGAAAACUCUGUUAUUAGGGAAGAACAUAUGUGUAAGUAACUGUGCACAUCUUGACGGUACCUAAUCAGAAAGCCACGGCUAACUACGUG
rnacentral:rRNA from 1 species